rnacentral:lncRNA from 1 species
GCUGCAGGUUCCGCUUAAUAGCUUAUCAGGCUUGAGUGGUCCUGUGUGACGUGCUCCCUGUCUGGCGGCUGAUGCUGUGAAGCGCGCUCAGGCAAGCUCCGAAGUUGUGAUAUGGAUGCAGUGACCUAUGAUGAUGUGCAUGUAAACUUGACUCGAGAAGAAUGGGCUUUGCUGGAUCCUUCACAGAAGCGUCUCUACAAAGAUGUGAUGCUGGAGACCUACAAGAACCUCACUGCUAUAGGUAGGCAUGAAAGAAGUCAUACUGGAGAGAAACCCUCUGUAUUCAACACUCAAUGUGGUAAAGCCUUUGCAUGUCACACUUAUCCUCAAAGGCAUGAAAGAAUUCAUACUAGAGAGAAAUCCUAUGAAGGUGUUCAAUAUGAUGAAGCCUUGGUACAUCACAGUAAUCUCCAAACACAUAAAAGAACACAUCCUAAAGAGAAACCCUACAAAUGCGAUCAAUGUGAUAAAGCCUAUUCACAACAUAGUCAUCUCCAAAGACAUAAAAGAAAACACACUGGAGAGAAACCUUAUGAAUGUAAGCAAUGUGGCAAAGCCUUUGCAUACCAUUCUGAACUUCAGAGUCAUGAAAGAAUUCAUACUGGAGAGAAACCCUACAAAUGUAAUCAAUGUGGUAAAGCCUUUGCACAUCAUUGCAAUCUUCGAGUGCAUAAAAUAAUACAUACUGGAGAGAAGCCCUACAAAUGCAAUCAAUGUGAUAAAGCCUAUUCACAACACUGUAAUCUCCAAAUACAUAAAAGUACACAUACUGGAGAGAAGUCCUAUAAAUGUAAUCAAUGUGGUAAAGCCUUUGUAUAUUAUGGUUAUCUUCAAAGACAUAAAACAACACACACUGGAGAGAAACCUUACAAAUGUAAUCUAUGUGGUAAAGCCUUUGCAUCUCAUCGUUAUCUCCAAGUACAUAAAAGUACACAUACUGGAGAGAAACCCCAUGAAUGUAAUCAAUGUGGUAAAGCCUUUGUAUAUCAUGAUCAUCUUCAAAUACAUAAAAGAACACAUACUGGAGAGAAACCCUAUGAAUGUAAUCACUGUGGUAAAACCUUUGCAGCCCAUCGUUAUCUCCAAGUACAUAAAAGAACACAUACUGGAGAGAAACCCUAUGAAUGUAAUCAAUGUGGUAAAGCCUUUGCAUCUCAUAGUUAUCUCCAAGUACAUAAAAGAACACAUACUGGAGAGAAACCCUAUGAAUGCAGUCAAUGUGAUAAAGCUUUUGCAUAUCCUGGUUAUCUCCAAGUACAUAAAAGAACACAUACUGGAGAGAAACCGUAUGAAUGCAAUCAAUGUGGUAAAGCCUUUGCAGGUCAGAAUGUUCUUAAAAGACAUGAAAAAAUUCAUACUGGUGAGAAACCUUACAUAUGUAAUGAAUGUGGUAAAGCCUUUGUGAGUAACACUAGUCUCCAAAUACAUAAAGCAACACAUACUGGAGAGAAGCCUUAUGAAUGUAAGCAAUGUAGUAAAUCCUUUGCCUCUCAUGGCCAACUUCAAAGUCAUGAAAUAAUUCACACUGGAGAGAAACCCUACAAAUGUAAUGGAUGUGAUAAAGCCUAUUCACGACACAGUCAUCUCCAAAGACAUAAAAGAACACAUACUAUGACUGUAACCAAUGUGAUAGAGCCUUUACAGGUCACAGUGAUCUUCAAAGGUAUGGAAGUUUGAAUAUGCUUGGCCCAUGGCAAGUGGCACUAUUAGGAGUUGUGGCCUUCUUUGAGGAAGUGGAUCACUAUGGCAGUGGGCUUUGAGAUCCUAUGCGUAAGCCCCUCCCAGGGCAGAAGAGUUUUCUGGGUGCCUUCUAAUCAAGAUGUAAAACUCUCAGCUCCUCCAGCACCAUGUCUGCUGGACACUGCUAUUCUUUCCACCUUGAUGAUAAUAGACUGAACCUCUGAAUCUGUACAGAACCUUCAAAUAAAUGUUGUCCUUUAUAAGUGUUGUCUUGGUCAUAGUAUCUUUUUCACAGCAAUAAAACCCAGACUAAGACAAAGGGCAUAAAAGAUAACACGCUGAAGAGAAACCCUGUGAAUGUGUUGAAUAGUUCUUAUUGCAACAGAAGUAUUCAAACUUCCAUUCACUGAAACCCUGUUAAUGGAAGUAAUGUACAGCCUUUGUCCUUCACAGUUAUCACUGAAUGUAGAAAAUAACACAUACUGGAGAAAAGCCUUAUGAACCUCAAUGUGAUAAAGUCUGUUUUAAAAUCUGCAAAGAUCCAUAACAAUACAAACACCUGGUCAAAGUAAAUGCCAAGAAUUACUGUAAUCAAGCUGUUUGGGUUAAAAGGUUAGGUUAGGGUUAGGUGUUGGAGGUUAAAGGUUAUGGAGUUAGGAUUGGGGGUUAGGGGUAAGGUUUAGGGUUAGAGGGUUAUGGUUGGGGAGUAAGGGUAUAGGGAUUAGAGUUUAGGAGGGUUAAGGUUAGGGAUUAGCGUUGGGGUUUAGGGCUAGGUUAGGGUUAGGUGUGUUAAGGUUGGGGAGGUAGGGUUAGAGGGUUAGCAGUUAGGGGUUAUUAGGAAAAGAAAUGCCAGCAGUGAUUCCUUUUAGGGUUCAGGUUAGGGUGAGCUUUAGUGUUAGAGCUUAGAGAGAGAGACAGAGAGGCAUUACUUUUAGGGAGGAAAUAGGUUGGCUGGGGAAAGAGGAAUGAAAAUGAUAUAAAUAGAGUAUUCAUAUAUAUUCUCAACAAAUUAAAAAUAUGGUGAAUAGUAUCAAAGUAAAUAAACUGGAGGGUAAGGAGGACUAUUACCGCACACAUUAAUGAAAUUCAGGAAAAUUGUUAGGUCUUACCUUAAAACCUCAUAUAUUCCAAAGAAUUGGAAAACUCUAAAAUAAAAUACAUAGAUUUCUAGAUGUAUAUGACCUACCAAAAGUAAAUCAUGAAGAUAUUUUAAAAAAAUAAGUUAAGCAGCUUUGUAGAAAAAAAUAAAAGUGAAGCAGUAAUCAAAUAUCUACCAAUUAAAAAAAAUUAUCAGACCUUCAAUAAUAUACUAAGACAAAUGCUUAUCAAACUAUUUUAUUAAAUAGCAAAGAAGGAAACAUUACCAAACUGUAUAAAGCUAGUAUUAGUCUGAUACUAAAACCAGAGUAAAAUUCCUUUAAAAAUACUUGCAAACUCGAUUCAAUAAUAUAUCAAAAAAUCACUCACCAUGACCAAGCUGGUUUAUUCCAGAGAUGUAGCGCUGGUUCCAUAUGUCAAUAAGUGUUAUGAAUUUCACAAAUGAUCUCUUGUUUUUGAUAGAAUAGAAAUUAUAUGGGCCCAGGCAGUGGUGGCACACGCCUUUAAUCCCAGCACUUGGGAGGCAGAGGCAGAUGAAUUUCUGAGUUCAAGGCCAGCCUGGUCUACAGAGUGAGUUCCAGGACAGCCAGGGUGAAACAGAGAAACCCUGUCUUGGAAAAAAAAGAAAGAAAAGAAAGGAAAGAAGAAAAGAAAAGAAAUUGUACGGCGUCUUGAUAGACAUGGAAGGCUUUUGACAAAACCAACAUCAAUCAUGUCAAACAUCCCAAAGAAACUCAGAAUAUCAGAAACACAUCUCACCAUAAUAAUAUAUUUGGCAAGCCUAUAGCUGAUGUAUUAAAUGCAGAAAACAAGUGUUCCCACUUUCCUGACUCUUAUUCAAGAUGGUACUGAAAAAUCUUAGCUAGAACAAUAUAAAGCAAAUAAAAGAAAUAUAAUAUGGAAAGGAAGAAGUCAAACUAUCUCUAUUUGCAGAUAAUUCAAAGACUCUAAAGACUCCACCAGAAAACCUAAAGAAUGGAUAAAUUCUUUUCAACAAAAUGGCAAAACACAAAAAUGGCAAAUAUAGCCUUUUUAUAAACCAAUGAAAAAUAUACUGAGAAAGAAAUUCAGGGAAAUAAUCCCAUUCAUAACACUUUAAAAAUCCAAGCAAAAAAUCUCUUGUAUUAAACCUGACCAAGAGAGUGAAAGACCUCUAUGAUGAAAACUUUAGAUACUGAAGAAAGAAAUUAAAGAAGACACUAGAAGAAGGGAAGCCCUUGCAGGCUCAUGGGAUAACCAUACUUCCAAAGUCAAUUUAUAGAUUUAAUGCAACCCCAAAAGAAAUUAAGGGGUUGAGAAAUAUUGUCAAAAUACAUCAUAUACAUGCAUGAAAACACUAUAAUAAAUCCCA